UACGGAGGGGGCUAGCGUUGUUCGGAAUUACUGGGCGUAAAGCGCACGUAGGCGGAUCAGCAAGUUAGAGGUGAAAGCCCGGGGCUCAACCCCGGAACAGCCUUUAAGACUGCAUCGCUAGAAUCCGGGAGAGGUGAGUGGAAUUCCGAGUGUAGAGGUGAAAUUCGUAGAUAUUCGGAAGAACACCAGUGGCGAAGGCGGCUCACUGGACCGGCAUUGACGCUGAGGUGCGAAAGCGUGGGGAGCAAACAGG
rnacentral:rRNA from 1 species